rnacentral:rRNA from 1 species
UUUGUUUAAAUAAAAAGUCUGGCCUGCCCACUGAAAUUUUAAAUGGCCGCGGUAUUUUAACCGUGCUAAGGUAGCAUAAUAAUUAGUUUCUUAAUUAGAAGCUGGAAUGAAGGGUUGGAUGAAAAAAUAACUGUCUCUAUUUUAAUAAUUUAGAAAUUUAUUUUUAAGUUAAAAAGCUUAAAUAUUUUUAAAAGACGAGAAGACCCUAUACGAGUUUAAUAUUUUAUUUUUAAUUAAUUAUUUAGAAUUUUUUGUUAUUAAUUUUAAAAUAUUUAAUUGGGGUGAUUAAAAAAUUUAAUUAACUUUUUUUAUAUAAAAAUAUUUAUAAAUAAUUUUAUGAUCCAAUUUUCUUGAUUAAAAGAUAAAUUACCUUAGGGAUAACAGCGUAAUUUUAUUUUAAAGUUCUAAUUAAAAGUAAAGUUUGCGACCUCGAUGUUGGAUUAAAA